rnacentral:rRNA from 1 species
CGCCUGGUUUAUCAAAAACAUGGCUUUCUGAAGAGCAUGGGGGGUCGUGCCUUCCCCAGUGGGCAUACGAGCCUAAACGGACGCGGUUUAUCGUGCUAAGGUAGCUAAAUUAUGGCCUAUUAAUUGUAGGUCCUGUGAAUGGUUUGACGAGUCCUCGACUGUCUCGAGGUUGUUUUGGUGAACUUGAAUUGAAUGUGCAAAUGCUUUCAUGGGAAAGAAAGACGAGAAGACCCCGUGAAGUUAGAAAUUCCUAUUACAGCGUUAAUCCGCUUUGAUGUUUGUAGAUCAGGCGUUUUAGAACUUUAAUUUUCCAAUACGGCUAGAGUUAGGGGUAUUGGAUGUUUAUAGUUUUUAAGUAGGGGAGUGUGGUUUUGAUGAGUUUUGGCUGGGGCAGCAAAGAGGCAAAACUAGACCUCUUUAGACACACAACGGGUGCGUUACGACCCACAAAAAUGAAUUGUGUGAUUAGCAGAAUGAGUUACUCCGGGGAUAACAGCCGUAAUCUUCCUUGAUAAGUUCUUAUAGAUGGGCGGGUUUGCGACCUCGAUGUUGGCUCUGGGUAUCCUGAGGCUUGCAGGCGGUCUCAAAGGGUUGGUUCGUUCGCCCAAUUAAAACCUUGACGUGAUCUGAGUUCAAAACCGG